CCUGGAACUCGCGAUUCUCCUGCCUCAGCCUCUGGAGUAGCUGGAGUUGCAGGCGGAUACCCCGUGGUGUUUUCUCGUGGACUGCUUUCCUGGUUGGCGCUGGCUGUCCGGGGGAUGCUGGGUGCAUGGCUGUCCACUCUGCACACGUGUUUGGCAGGACACUUAUUGCAACUUUGCUGAAUUAAUCCACCCGAGAUGAGGUCACCCAUGUUAAGCCUUGGCUGCAGUGAAUUUCAAUAAAAGAAUUCAGCUGUACACCAUCUCCAGAAUCCAACUUUGGAACAAUUAUGUCAUCCCAAAGUGUUCUUUUUGUCCAUCUCUGUCCCCCGCCACCUCUUUCUGUGCUGGGGCCCCUGGCGUUUGCUGACUGAGCGGGCGGACCUCUAGCGCAGGUGUGUGGCCGGCCUGAGGACGGUGACCCUGAUGCUGAUGUCCUGGGACCACUGUCCAGUACUGCAGUCGGGCUUGGGUUGGGGCUUCGUCAGGGUGGACGUUAUGGAUUCCCUGCGGAGGUAUCAGCUUUUGGCUCUGAGACCAGGGGAGAGCUCGCCACCCCUUCCUCUCUUUUUUUUGUAAAGUUGCCGUU